GUGAAACAUCGGUUACCAUACGAUCAUCGAAGUUAAGCAACGUCGAGACUGGUCAGCACCUAGAUGGGUGACCGUUUGGGAAUACCCGGUGCUGUAAG